CUGCAUUUGUGAGUGAUCUCCUAUGGGGCUUCUCAUGCUUGGGUCUGCAGCAGCAGGUUUCAGCCACAUUUGAGAGAAGGUGUUGCAGUGCUGAUGAGAGACUUUGUUACUGCAAUUCCUUUGUGUAAAAUUUACUCAAGUCUUUGCUUGCUGUGGUUUGGAGGGCAGUGUGUGUGCUGCCUGACUGCUUGGGGCUGCUUCGUUCCUGUGUCCUCUGGGCUGAGUGACACAGAGAGGUGGAGCAGCUGCAUGCCAGAAGUCUCACUGCCUUGGUGAAGAGGUACAGCUGGGGACCUGAAGGGCACUGGGCAGGCACACAGCAGCGCCAUCUCACCUGAAGACCUUCUGCACUUUUUCUGCCAUGAGCCUGGUGGGAGAAGGAGACAGAGCAAGCCAAAGCAGAUGGGACUGAGACAUUUCAAGAGUGGAUGGUGUUGCUGCUGCCGCUGCUGGAGAGGUCAGCCCUUUGUUUCAUUUAAUCACAUGGUGACUUUCAGGACUGAAUCAUUUUCUUAGCCACACUGUGAGCACUGGUUCUCAGCAAAGAGAAGAGCUUGAUCAGUCAGAGUGGACAGAGGAGAGGAUACAAGAGAGAUGAGCAUUGAUGUAUCGUAUACAAAAUCCAACAUUUGAGGGUGUUGUGUCAUCAGCAGUACUAUCGAG